rnacentral:rRNA from 1 species
ACGUAGGUGGCAAGCGUUGUCCGGAAUUAUUGGGCGUAAAGCGCGCGCAGGCGGUUUCUUAAGUCUGAUGUGAAAGCCCCCGGCUCAACCGGGGAGGGUCAUUGGAAACUGGGAAACUUGAGUGCAGAAGAGGAAAGUGGAAUUCCAAGUGUAGCGGUGAAAUGCGUAGAGAUUUGGAGGAACACCAGUGGCGAAGGCGACUUUCUGGUCUGUAACUGACGCUGAGGCGCGAAAGCGUGGGGAGCAAACAGGA